GACAGAGGUGCCAAGCGUUAGGCGGAAUCACUGGGCUUAAAGCGUGUGUAGGCGGAGUUCUAAGUACCUUGUGAAAUCCCACGGCUUAACCGUGGAACUGCUUGGUAUACUGGUUCUCUUGGGCCAUCUAGGGGUUACCGGAACAAACGGUGGAGCGGUGAAAUGCGUAGAUAUCGUUUGGAACGCCAAUGGUGAAAACAGGUAACUGGGGAUGUGGCCGACGCUGAGACACGAAAGCCAGGGGAGCGAACGGG
rnacentral:rRNA from 1 species